rnacentral:lncRNA from 1 species
GCCUUAAUUGAAUAAAUCAAGUGAAUCAACGUACAUACUUGAACAUAGUAGUGCAACAGAAGAAAAAUGCCAAUGAGUUUGUGAAAUUAUUUCCUGUUUUCAAAGUGUUUUAUUUUUCAAUUCAAAUUUCAAAAAAUUUUAAAAUUUCCAAACUAAAAAGUAGAAAAACACCAAAAAGAAAACUUUUAUGUAGAAAAUAUAAUUGUCACGCGAGAUUUUUCAGUGUGUCAGAAAUGCAGUCUAGCACACAAAAUGUAAUAAUGCAAUUGAUUGGAAGUUGGAAAAAAAAAUUCAACCAAUUAUAUCUUAACACUUAAUAUAUUAAACUUUAUUCUCAGCACACUUAAAAAUUUCUCUCGUCGCAACCAUUUUAACUUAUAUUCUCUAGGCAUUACUAAAUAAACUAAAAUUACAACAAUGGAGCUCUCAAAUCAAAUGUUCAAGAAACCAAGACCUUCAUUGGGUCCCAAUUGUUCAACACAAAUAAUUCCAAACAUUUUUUUGGGAAAAGAAAAAGGUAAUAAUUAAUAUAAUAUAAUUGGGAAAGUAGAAGAAAAAACAAAAAGCUCAAUCCAUUUUCUUCACGCGAAUGGCCUAAAAAGCCCCUCCACUUUGGACACAUCAAACCUGUCGUUACUUCCGGGCCCGCCACUUUCUCAACGGUCCGAUCUACCACAAAUUCGAAUUGUUUUCUUUCCCAAAUCCAACCCCACGAUUUUUUCUGUUAAAUGACAUUUUGACUUCAACCUUUGGUCAUAAUUACUAUCGAAGUAUCGUUGACGUGAAUUUAGCGGCUAAAUGAACUACAAGCUGACGGUAUGGUAAAUAACGGAUUAUAAGAUUUCUUUAAAAUUAAAAAUUUGAGGUUUUGGGUUUGAAAUCCGUUGUUGAUGUAGAAGUCAAACUUAUGAUUAGGGGAAGGCUGAAAUGUCUUUGUGAAUCUUCCCAAUUCUCGAAAGAAGUAGAUAAUCGUGACUUACCACCAAUUAUCUCAUUUUUCUAAAUAAAAAAUAAAAAAAAUUAGCAGCUAAAUGUAAGUUGGAUAAUUUCUAAAACGUUAUGAAGAAUUGUUUAAAUUAAUGAGUAAAUUUAAGGAAGAGGAUCCUCUCCGGAUCCAUUUUGUGAGGAUCCUAAGGAACCCCACAUCUUAGUCAUUC